AAUGGAGACCGCUAAUAUCACCAAGCAACACAUGGAGAGAUGGCAGCUGAGAGCACAGUGAGGUCUGGAUGAGGACAGCUACCUUCCUCUGCAGACCCCUUCCCAUCACCUGCAAGAGGAGAUUUGGAUGCACAAAGAGACAGACACAAGGGGUGCUCACACACAGAGGAAAGACAGUGAAAACGCAGCCAUCCACAAACCAAGGAGAGAAGCCCGUGGAGUAGCCAAACCUGCCAACACCUUGGUCUUGGACUCCAGAACCAUGGGAAGUAAAUUCUUGUUUAAACCGCCCAUUAGUGAUAAUAGAACAAACAAAAGAAAAGACAGAGUGGAUAAACAAACAAAAGAAAAGACCACUCUUCCCAGCCUUGUUGGGGACAUUAAGCUGGGGAGGAAAACCAAUCCAUUCAACAUCAACCAGAAAAUCUAAAUAGGCUGGAAGAGCGUAACCUCAGGAUCCAUUUCAACAAUCUUGCAUUUAUGUUUAAAUAAUCAGUUGCAUAAUAAAAUGUAGGAUGGUCUAACA
ensembl:lncRNA